rnacentral:rRNA from 1 species
GACGAACGCUGGCGGCGUGCCUAAUACAUGCAAGUCGAGCGAGACUCUUCGGAGUCUAGCGGCGGACGGGUGAGUAACACGUGGGCAACCUGCCUGUAAGACUGGGAUAACACCGGGAAACUGGUGCUACUACCGGAUAAUCCUUUUCCUCUCAUGAGGGAAAGCUGAAAGUCGGUUUCGGCUGACACUUACAGAUGUGCCCGCGGCGCAUUAGCUAGUUGGUGAGGUACCGGCUCACCAAGGCGACGAUGCGUAGCCGACCUGAGAGGGUGAUCGGCCACACUGGGACUGAGACACGGCCCAGAAUCCUACGGGAGGCAGCAGUAGGGAAUCUUCCACAAUGGACGAAAGUCUGAUGGAGCAACGCCGCGUGAGCGAUGAAGGCCUUCGGGUCGUAAAGCUCUGUUGUUAGGGAAGAAUAAGUACCGGAGUAACUGCCGGUACCUUGACGGUACCUAACCAGAAAGCCACGGCUAACUACGUGCCAGCCGCCGCAGUAAUAC